rnacentral:tRNA from 1 species
GCCCGGGUGGUGAAAUCGGUAAACACGUCCGACUUAAAAUCGGAUGCCCAACGGCUUGCGGGUUCGAGUCCCGCCCCGGGCA